rnacentral:rRNA from 1 species
CAACCUACCUAUCAGAGGGGAAUAACCCGGCGAAAGUCGGACUAAUACCGCAUAAAACAGGGGCACCGCAUGGUGAUAUUUGUUAAAGAAAUUCGCUGAUAGAUGGGCAUGCGUUCCAUUAGGUAGUUGGUGAGGUAACGGCUCACCAAGCCGACGAUGGAUAGGGGAACUGAGAGGUUGGUCCCCCACACUGGUACUGAGACACGGACCAGACUCCUACAGGAGGCAGCAGUGAGGAAUAUUGGUCAAUGGGCGAGAGCCUGAACCAGCCAAGUCGCGUGAAGGAAGAAGGAUCUAUGGUUCGUAAACUUCUUUUGCAGGGGAAUAAAGUGCAGGACGUGUCCUGUUUUGUAUGUACCCUGAGAAUAAGGAUCGGCUAACUCCGUGCCAGCAGCCGCGGUAAUACGGAGGAUCCGAGCGUUAUCCGGAUUUAUUGGGUUUAAAGGGUGCGUAGGUGGUUUGAUAAGUCAGCGGUGAAAGUUUGCAGCUUAACUGUAAAAAUGCCGUUGAAACUGUCGGACUUGAGUGUAAAUGAGUAGGCGGAAUGCGUGGUGUAGCGGUGAAAUGCAUAGAUAUCACGAAGAACUCCGAUUG